AUUGAACGCUGGCGGCAUGCCUUACACAUGCAAGUCGAACGGCAGCGCGGGAGCAAUCCUGGCGGCGAGUGGCGAACGGGUGAGUAAUAUAUCGGAACGUGCCCAAGAGUGGGGGAUAGCCCGGCGAAAGCCGGAUUAAUACCGCAUACGCCCUAAGGGGGCAAGUGGGGGACCGCAAGGCCUCACGCUCGUGGAGCGGCCGAUAUCUGAUUAGCUAGUUGGUGGGGUAAGAGCCUACCAAGGCGACGAUCAGUAGCUGGUCUGAGAGGACGACCAGCCACACUGGGACUGAGACACGGCCCAGACUCCUACGGGAGGCAGCAGUGGGGAAUUUUGGACAAUGGGGACAACCCUGACCCAGCAAUGCCGCGUGUGUGAAGAAGGCCUUCGGGUUGUAAAGCACUUUUGUCCGGAAAGAAAUCCCCUGGGAUAAUACCCCAGGGGGAUGACGGUACCGGAAGAAUAAGCACCGGCUAACUACGUGCCAGCCGCCGCCGUAA
rnacentral:rRNA from 1 species